rnacentral:ncRNA from 1 species
AAAAAAACGUUGAAAAGGACUAGUAGAGUGUGUCCGUCUUUUCUAGAGAGGAAACAACUGGUGAAAAGUUUCUAAAGACAGCAUUUGAACCUGCCUUGGAGUUCUGUAUCGAUCUUACUUAAGAUACAAGCGGUUUGCACGAACCGUUAUCAAUAAUGAAGUGUACAGCAAUGCUGUAAAUAAGGGUGGUACCACCAGACCUCGGUCCCUUUU